GAAGAAGGGGGAGUGGGGAUGGUAUAGGGGGUUUAUAGAUGGGAAACCGGGAAAGGGGAUAACAUUUAAAAUGUAAAUGUAAAUAAAAAUAUCCAAUCUAAAAAAAAAACCUGAAUGUAUUAUGGAGGCUUGUCAAGGACCAAACCUCAGAACCUUUCUUUGGAAUCGUUUUGCCACUUUAUGGUAGUGCAGUAAUAGCACCCAGCUUCCAGUUUCUGGGUACAGAGGCUGCCAAGUUCGCCCCUUUCUGUAGAGAUAUCUACAAAUACACUUUUCCCCUUUUGCCUGUAUCUCUACCUUACUGUGAGCCCAACAUUAUACAAUUGCAGGAGUUUAAACCAUAUGCACUGAUAAGUAAAAACUACCAUAGUUAAAGACAGACAGUGCGUCAAUGUAACCCACAUAGUGCAGGGCAUUGAGGAAGCCCUGGGUGACUGAAGUCCUAAAUGAAUGUACAUUGUUGAUAUGGGCACAGCCAUAACAAAGACCAAGGCAUUGGACCCAUGGCUGAUUGGCAAAGCUAUCCCUACAUAGGCCAUACUCAAAGUUGUAAAGCCUUCUUUUCCUCUGGUCCAAAUAAAAGUUUUACAGAAAAUGAUCAGUAUGUACAAACACUAGCAACUGAACCUUCUUCCUUCUCCUACAUGUUAACUGUCUGAGACUAGUUGUCUACAAAUACUAGACACCCCCUGCCCCAGUGCUGUACAUAAAAAAUAUGCUGAGAUUGGGGACAUGUUAGUAGGUGACAUUCCAUCACAGUUCAUACACCCUACUUGACCUCAGCUUUUCUGUAUGUAUGUACAUCUGUCCUUUCAUUAUUCUUUUGCUACCCUUCAUCAAAGUUCCAGGAUGCAAGCCAUGAAGAACAUAGCAGUUAUGACUACUAAUGACUACAUGACCAGUAUUAAAGACUAUAUAGACUUUUGAGUCUGGCUACCCACAGUCUACCUUCAAGAUGCCUCCAGAUCACUGUGGCAACAAUGUUUAUCUGUUUUCAUUGCUGAAUAGUAUUCCAUGUUGUGGCUAUAGAAUGUUUAUCUAUUUACUAACUAAAGAAGUUUGGGUUAUUUUUCAACAUGGGGCAAGUUUGUGCACGGUUAGGCAAAUGCGGGUAGUGGAUUACUAACACUGUUCUGUCUUCUGACUUUUCCUGUCACAUGUCUUCAUUUCCUACUUGUGCUUCCUGGGAUCACUAUCUCCAAAGACCUUUUCUUAGGUAAGAUUUGGAAGACCCACCACAAAACUUUAUGACAAUUAUACAAUGCGGAAGUCAGGUGAGAUGGGACACCAUUAGCAGUGUGAAUACUGAGAGACAGGUGCAGAAAAAUCAUAUAUAAAGCCCAAAUAAGUUACUACCUGGGGAGGGGGAAGCUACUGAGUUUGGUCCAACACUGUUUGUCAGUGCAAGCUGACCAUGCAUAGAAAAGUUUUCACCAAACUUUAGACCUCUGGUGUCUACUCCUAUAUUACACUGACAAUUUUUUUAUUUUGCUAUUUUAUAAAUUCUAUAAAUUGAAAAACACAAAAAUCCUUUACAGUUAUUAUUUCAAAGAUAACAUCUAUUAACAGUUGUGUUCAGAUACUUCAGACAGGUCCUGUACAUAAAGAGAAUUGGUGUUUUACACUAGCACGUGAAUCAUAAAAAUACUACAUCUACUCUCUAGAUAAAGGGAUAUAGCCAAUUUUGAUGUCUGUAUCUUGUCCCUCCACAUUUUCUAACAUUGCCUUAUUCCACUUAAAGAGGAAAGAGGUAAUGUUGUAGUUUGUUUUUGUUGAUGUGAUAAAAAAAAUACUUCAAACAAAAUAUCUUGGGGAGGAGAGGAUUUAUGUGGCUUAAAAUUCCUGAUCCUAGUCUAUCAUUGAGGGUAGUUGUGGCAGGAAUCCAAGUAGUAAGAGAGGCACGUACCAUAGAGGAAAGCUACUUACUGACUUGCUUCCCUGGACUUGUUUAUCUAGCUUUGUUAUACAAUCUAAGACCGCCAGUUCAGGGGUAAUACCACCUCCAGUGGGCUGAAUCCUCUACACAUCAGUAAGCUAUCAUGAAAAUACCUGUCAGACAAAUUAACAGACUAAUCUGAUCAAGGCAGUGUCCCAGUUGAGACUGUCUUAGGUAAUUCUGGGCUGUGUCAUAUUCACAAAUGAAGUUCCUCAUUGAAGGGGACUGAGGCUUCUGGAUGGAGCCCCUCCUAAUGCCCACAUUCAUGGAGACAGACAUGUAUGGCAGCAGAGAUACAGCGAGAGUCAGACCACAUAGGCCCCAUGCAGACUGAGUGCCAAUUUAAAAAAGGCUCUGAGAUCUUCAGGUCCAGGAUGAUUCAAAGCCAUCAAGAAGGAAGUGCAGAUACUGCUAAGGACAUGAAGGUGGGCAGUGGCAUUCUCUUCACAUACAUUCAUCUAUGUGACACGGAAGGUGCCCAGAAUGCUUGGCUUGAGACCCCAUCGGUUUCAUGACUAAGGAAACAGAUUAGGAGCUCUUAGCCAGUCAAAGGUUUGACAGUGAAAUAGAGCUGAGGAAUACACCAAAGAUCCUUAGAACAGCAGGAUGUAAUUAAUCAGUGUCUUAGAAAUAAGUGCCAACCAUGCCUAUGUUAGACACCAUUUCCAAUCUCUGCCCCAGUGAAUCUCAAAACAAAGAAGGAAUGAACUUUUUUCCAGAGGACAUCAAAAUUAGAGCUGGAGAAGUCAAUGUGACAAAAAGCAGCAGUCAGAAGAAUGAGAAACCUUCUGAGGAGAGGAGGCCCCUCUAGGUUGAGAGGCAUGGAGGAGUUAGGCAGGUAGACAAUCUAAAAAGUGACUGCUUUGGGGAGCAGAUGUUUGACUGGAGGAAAAAUUCACCAGCGUAGCUUCAAUGAAACAUUUAAAAUGUCUUGGGAUUAGUUAAUAAACAUUCUUAGUGCUGUUAACAAGGUUGGCCACAUGUGCUACAUGGUACACAGAUUGGCCCUAAUAUUUUUCUGUGUUCCUUGUGGAUGUCAUAUACUUUUCCAUCAACUGGGACAGAUUCAGUGAUCCAAGUCUUGGACCUGGGAAACCUACAGAUCAUGCUACAGGAUGUUUUCUACCUUGAAUUAUGAAACUGUGGGGCAGGGAAAAGGUCCAUAGAUUCUGAUGUGUGCCAGGAUUUAGAAUCUACAGAAUGAGAAGAAACCAAGGUGCAUGGCCCUGUUUGUCCUGAGGGAAAGGCUGAUCUGUAUCUGUCAUAGAAGGACCCUGGAAGUCUUCUUUAUGCUCUGUCUCCACCUGCUAAGUCUGCAGGGCUGGGCAGUGAAAGCCAAAGGAAUUAUUGAUGCUGUAAAUUUAAGGAAAUGAAGCAUUGCAGAAGAUAAUUUUCUUUUUGAUCCCUAGCCAGACGUCUUUUGAAAAGCUGCUAUAAAUCCAGUGUCCCUGAGAAGUGUCAUCUGUCCUCUCUCCCUGAAACCUCUGUGACUGCACUGAUUAUCCAGAGAGACUGCAUGGGGCCUCCUGAGUCCCAGGCACCCCUCCCUAGCACAGUGCCACAAACAACUGCUAUACUUGGAGGAGGAUAGUUCAUAAUUCCUGUCAGCCAGGAAAAUCACAGGAGUAAGAAAUGGAUAAAAGACUCUGGAAAAUGGACUCCAAAACACACCCAGGAGUUACAUAUGGAGCACUUAGCACAACAGAAUGAAGAUAAGUGAUGAGUUCUUCCUCAAAUGAUCGUGCAUCUUUCUACAUUUCCUGUCCUUUCCUCACCUGAGAAUCCUUGUCGCUUCUCAUUUGAUCCACUGAAUAUGAGACUUCACCUCCAUGCAAGUAAACAAAGGAUUUAAACUGGACAGACACACCCAAGUACUGAACUCGGGACCCCUCAGCUUCUUCACAGUGAUGAAGGAUAGGACAAUUGGGUCCCAUGGAAAUCUACAAACAACCCAGGCUGUUGCUCAAACAAUGGAUUGUUCUCUGAAAACUGACAGCAGGACCCCAUUACUGAGGACAACAUUCACACAACUCAUUGGACAUGGGUCAGAAGAAAUUUUGCCAAGAAUGACUCAUGAUUUCAGACUUAGACAAUACUGGAGGUGGAUAAAUGACAGGAGGAGGCAGCAGGCAUGAACUAGAGACGUGAAACUAGCUCUGUACAAAAGUGUUGGAAUUCUUAAUUGGAAAUACGGGACCGCCAAGCACAAAAAUUUCAUGUUUCCAGAACAUAUGAAAGGCACAGACUGCCUACUAGUAUCCAUUUUCAUCCUCUCUCCCCUCUUUCUGGUGAGCAAGUUUGUUCUGUAUCAGAGGAGAGUUUAGACGAAUGUACCAUCUCCAGCCAUACAGCCCCUAGACCUCAAGGUCUGGCCCAUCAGCGGAAUGUGUAGCAGCUUUAACUGAUUGUUUAAUAAGGGGAGAGUAGAGUGCCAGGGAGGAUUCUAGGAGGGACAUGAAGAGCUGUGCAUUCACAAGUGAUAACUGUCUUGCAUGAGACAUCAUGAGGUCACAUGGGAAAUAAAGACUCAUUUUGAGGUAAACCAAUAAAUAUUCUACUUAUAACCAUGAGAGAGAACAGAUAACCUUGGCCUCAGGUUAAAAGGAUUGGAUUAUUUCCAAUAGUUGUGUUCAACCCCCAGGGGCUUACCUAGUUCCUCAAAGGAUAUAGAGAUGCUAUGGUCUCUGCAGCUAGGGACACUGAAGAGCCUCCUCCAAGGUUCAGAGGUGGUUGAGUGUGGGUCAUCACAGAACAUGUUACAUAUGGGAGUAUAGCUCAUACAGUAGUGGUAUCACCAGUAUCCAGGAAAAUCCUUCAGUAGUCAUCUGUGAGGGUCACGGUGAGUCUCAGUAGGCUUUAGUAUGCCAGGUAAACAAUUCACAUCUUAAUAAUGGACAGUGUCCCCACAUUAUCACUUACCAUAUGAUAUAUUGUUUAUUGCUUUCUUUCAAGAUUGAAGAUGUCAGUAGAAACUGUUUUACAGAGGCUACGAGAUAAGCCUCUGUGCAUGCCUUACAAGAUUAUCUAGAUUGUAUCAAAUGAAAUGGGAUGAUCCAAUUUAACAAUGCACACCACAGUCCAUGGACUGAACAUGAAGGAGAAAGGGCACAAGCAUUGAUCUCUCUUUACUUUCUUUACUAGAGAAAUAAUGUGACCAGCUGCCUUAAGCUCCUAUCACGCAGGAUUGUACCAUAGAACUGUGAGACCAAAUGAACUUUCUUCCUUAAGUUCCUUUUCUCAAGUUUUUGUCACAGCAAAUGAUGAAGUGACAAGUACCCUUACAUUUGGUUUUAGUAGUGGACUAAAACGAAAAUGAAGAUAUUAACUAACUAAGGAACAAUAGAAAAUCGGGAGUUCUCCACUGUCUCCCUGAAGCUUGGCUAUUCAGACCUACUGAUGUCCUUCGUGGAAGAAAUGUAAGAGAUACUAACUGCUAUAGAGAACAGGAGGAUGAGUGGGCUACCAUCCACCAUGCUGAGCAAGGUAGUGGAUACACGGCUGCAGAGAGGAUUGGUAACAAGAUUGAGUUGGGGUUGGAAAUGACAGGGAAGAAAGGGAUAACAGUGUUCUCUUCUACCACUUACUCCCCCUUUUCUUUAUUGAAAUAUAUAC
rnacentral:sRNA from 1 species